rfam:Trichobilharzia regenti genome assembly, scaffold: TRE_scaffold0019460
GUACUGAUGAAGAGUCCCAAACUAGGACGAGACAGCUGUUUAGUAC